AUCCAGCUGACGAGUUUCAAAUAGGACGAAACGUACAUACUGGAU
rfam:Schistosoma mattheei strain Denwood, Zambia genome assembly, scaffold: SMTD_scaffold0003680